rnacentral:rRNA from 1 species
GACGAACGCUGGCGGCGUGCUUAACACAUGCAAGUCGUACGGUAAGGCCCUUUCGGGGGUUCACGAGUGGCGAACGGGUGAGUAACACGUGAGUAACCUGCCCACAACUUUGGGAUAACGCUAGGAAACUGGUGCUAAUACUGGAUAUGUGCUCCUGCUUCAUGGUGGUGGUUGGAAAGCUCCGGCGGGUGUGGAUGGACUCGCGGCCUAUCAGCUUGUUGGUGGGGUAGUGGCCUACCAAGGCGGCGACGGGUAGCCGGCCUGAGAGGGUGACCGGCCACAGUGGGACUGAGAGAAGGCACAGACACGGACGGGAGGCAGCAGGGGGGAAUAUUGCACAAGGGGCGCAAGGCGGGUGCAGAAGCGCCGCGGGCGGGAAGACGGCCUUCGGGUUGAAAACCGCUUUCAGCAGGGACGGAGCUUUUUGUGACGGUACCUGAAGAAGAAGCACCGGCUAACUACGUG